GCAGAACAUAUUCUCUCUUGGAUCUAGUGAGUUGCUUUUGAUAAAUAGAAUAAAGUGGAAAAAAACUACUGUUCUCAAUCUAAUCUUUAAAAACAAAAUGAUCCCACUUUUCACAUAUUCAUGUUUUUUUCACCUCCUAAACCCUAAAUUCCUCGAAAUGAUAGCCCUUGCCCAGAUCUUCUGUGUAUGCCUUAGAAUCUAGCACAUAGGUUAACCUGGCUGACUAAGCCCUCAGUCAGAGUAUAUUUGAUUGGCUAUCAUCUCCAUAUUUUUAUGAGGCUCUUCUUGAUUAGAAAAAUAACUUAAUUAUUUGAAAUAAUUUUUUUUAAUCAUUGUACAGAAUUUUACCGAGCUAAAAAUAGAGAUCCGAAGAAGAAUGGCAGAGAACUCCUAUGGGAUUCCGAAGGCUCCAUCUCUAGAUGUGACCAUGUUCUGAUCAGUUCGACAUUGAAAGAAUCAUCCAGCUGGUUCAUGAAUGUUUUAUUCACUUCUUAUGUGACAGCAGACUACUCACUAGGUGGUAUGAUCCAACUUAAUAAGAUAGGGGAUCCAGUGUAACACAGAGCCUAAGUCUCUGAGGGAGGAUUAUGGAGAUGAAAUGGGGUAAGUUAUUUAAAUCCAAGAAACCCAAACCUUAUCUGACGUACUAGAAAAGACAAAAGUGCUAAUGUUGGGUGAUUUCUAGUCUUAUCACACAGGUAGGUCCUAGGCUGUAUGGAAGCAGUUUGUGUAACAGAAGACCCCAUCUAACUCAGGUGGGAUUUAUGAGGUCCAGCUCCCUUUAGGCCCUAUCUGAGAAUCUCCACUCAGAAUUAAUGCACCAAAGUUAAAUCUGCACUAGAAAGCCAGGUAAGGCCUCAAGCACCUGAUAGGUUGAGGCCCUGCUUGGUUAGUCUCCAUAUCAACACUGUAAAAUGAGCUAAUCUAAUACC
rnacentral:lncRNA from 1 species